rnacentral:rRNA from 1 species
AGAGUUUGAUCCUGGCUCAGGACGAACGCUGGCGGCGUGCUUAACACAUGCAAGUCGAACGGAAAGGCCCUGCUUUUGUGGGGUGCUCGAGUGGCGAACGGGUGAGUAACACGUGAGUAACCUGCCCUUGACUUUGGGAUAACUUCAGGAAACUGGGGCUAAUACCGGAUAGGAGCUCCUGCUGCAUGGUGGGGGUUGGAAAGUUUCGGCGGUUGGGGAUGGACUCGCGGCUUAUCAGCUUGUUGGUGGGGUAGUGGCUUACCAAGGCUUUGACGGGUAGCCGGCCUGAGAGGGUGACCGGCCACAUUGGGACUGAGAUACGGCCCAGACUCCUACGGGAGGCAGCAGUGGGGAAUAUUGCACAAUGGGCGGAAGCCUGAUGCAGCAACGCCGCGUGCGGGAUGACGGCCUUCGAGUUGUAAACCGCUUUCGCCUGUGACGAAGCGUGAGUGACGGUAAUGGGUAAAGAAGCACCGGCUAACUACGUGCCAGCAGCCGCGGUGAUACGUAGGGUGCGAGCGUUGUCCGGAUUUAUUGGGCGUAAAGGGCUCGUAGGUGGUUGAUCGCGUCGGAAGUGUAAUCUUGGGGCUUAACCCUGAACGUGCUUUCGAUACGGGUUGACUUGAGGAAGGUAGGGGAGAAUGGAAUUCCUGGUGGAGCGGUGGAAUGCGCAGAUAUCAGGAGGAACACCAGUGGCGAAGGCGGUUCUCUGGGCCUUUCCUGACGCUGAGGAGCGAAAGCGUGGGGAGCGAACAGGCUUAGAUACCCUGGUAGUCCACGCUGUAAACGGUGGGUACUAGGUGUGGGGUCCAUUCCACGGGUUCCGUGCCGUAGCUAACGCUUUAAGUACCCCGCCUGGGGAGUACGGCCGCAAGGCUAAAACUCAAAGGAAUUGACGGGGCCCCGCACAAGCGGCGGAGCAUGCGGAUUAAUUCGAUGCAACGCGUAGAACCUUACCUGGGUUUGACAUGGAUCGGGAGUGCUCAGAGAUGGGUGUGCCUCUUUUGGGGUCGGUUCACAGGUGGUGCAUGGCUGUCGUCAGCUCGUGUCGUGAGAUGUUGGGUUAAGUCCCGCAACGAGCGCAACCCUUGUUCACUGUUGCCAGCACGUUAUGGUGGGGACUCAGUGGAGACCGCCGGGGUCAACUCGGAGGAAGGUGGGGAUGACGUCAAGUCAUCAUGCCCCUUAUGUCCAGGGCUUCACGCAUGCUACAAUGGCUGGUACAGAGAGUGGCGAGCCUGUGAGGGUGAGCGAAUCUCGGAAAGCCGGUCUCAGUUCGGAUUGGGGUCUGCAACUCGACCCCAUGAAGUCGGAGUCGCUAGUAAUCGCAGAUCAGCAACGCUGCGGUGAAUACGUUCCCGGGGCUUGUACACACCGCCCGUCAAGUCAUGAAAGUUGGUAACACCCGAAGCCGGUGGCCUAACCGUUGUGGGGGAGCCGUCGAAGGUGGGACUGGUGAUUAGGACUAAGUCGUAACAAGGUAACCAAGGGCGAAUUCCACAGUG